GCUACAUGACCCAGCUGUUAGGGCAAAAAAACAGUUUUGAGAAUUUUGGCAAGGACCUCCUGAGCCUUCCCACAACUUUCCUAUUGACUGCUUUUUAGCCUUUUCUAUUUGUUUUUAUUCCCUGGACUGCUCUUUGUUUUGAGAACUGCUUCUGCUUGAGGUUAUUGCAAUAUAUUUUUAGUAAGAGGACUCUUAUUUGUUUAAAUCCUCAGGCUAUCAGUUGCAUUGCGCCAUAGGAGUGAUAUCCACCUGGAUAAUCGUCGUCUUUAUUUGAUUUCCUUGGAGAGUAGGCCAGAUUUUUCCACCACUGCUGGGUCAAAGUUGGAGUCACUAGAAGAGGAGGGAGGUGAAUUUAGAAGAGGUGCAGAGUUUGAAGACAUUCUUCGGUGCAGCUUCAGGCCAGUUUUUGCUUGGCCUCCUUUUCAUCACCUUGGCACCAGAGCCAUAUCGUUCGACAAACCAAACUGUGACAGGUAAGUUCUGCAACCAAUUCUUUCACUUUUUAGGGGGGUAACAGCUCCCACGUCCAUGGAGAGCAAGAGACACUGACCCCCAUCCUGUGGUCUUAUACUUCAAAGCUGGACACAUGAGCCUUGGCUAAAAGUUCUACCUUUAUAGCUCUAGGACAAUUAAGUGGAAUCUACACUUGGGGGGGUUUAGGUCACCUCUAAUCAUAGUUUUGAAGUCACUAGGCUUUGGAUUGACUUAAGACCUGAACGCUUUUAAACAAAAGAUUUAUUCUUAGAAUCCCAGCUGUCUUAGAAUCUAGAAGCCCUAGAUUUAUACUUCUAGUUCAAAGCUAGUAAGUACUAGGGCCUAGCACUACAAUAGGACACCUCAAUGCCUUUGAGCCUUGGAAGCCACUUGCCCCCAGCAGUAAGUGAAAGACCUCAAGAGUGAGUGCUCCUCGUAUCACAUCAGUCCUUUUGUCCCUCUGUAGUUAAGUAUCCCCACUCACCAUAGAGGAUUUUCACCACCUUGAGCUCCCUGCCUCCUCUUGCAUCACUAAGCUAUCUGUAGCCAGUGCCUCCACCCCCAAUUUGUUUCUGACCUCUCCUUUGCUGUGUGUCCCACAGGGCUCACUCCUCAGCUUCCAUGGACUAGAUUACCUCUAUGCUAAUGGUU
rnacentral:lncRNA from 1 species